UACAGAGGGGGCAAGCGUUGUUCGGAAUUACUGGGCGUAAAGGGCGCGUAGGCGGUCUUGUAAGUCUUGUGUGAAAUCCCUCGGCUCAACUGAGGAACUGCACGGGAUACUGCGAGACUUGAGUUCGGGAGAGGGAAGCGGAAUUCCGGGUGUAGCGGUGAAAUGCGCAGAUAUCAGGAGGAACACCGGUGGCGAAGGCGGGUCUCUGGGCAACAACUGACGCUGAGGAGCGAAAGCGUGGGGAGCGAACAGG
rnacentral:rRNA from 1 species